rnacentral:rRNA from 1 species
AAGGUGGCCUGUGAGGGUUGCUGGAGGUAUCAGAAGUGCGAAUGCUGACAUAAGUAACGAUAAAGCGGGUGAAAAGCCCGCUCGCCGGAAGACCAAGGGUUCCUGUCCAACGUUAAUCGGGGCAGGGUGAGUCGACCCCUAAGGCGAGGCCGAAAGGCGUAGUCGAUGGGAAACGGGUUAAUAUUCCCGUACUUGGUGUUACUGCGAAGGGGGGACGGAGAAGGCUAUGUUGGCCGGGCGACGGUUGUCCCGGUUUAAGCGUGUAGGUGUGUGUUCCAGGUAAAUCCGGUUCACUUUAACACUGAGGCGUGAUGACGAGGCACUACGGUGCUGAAGCAACAAAUGCCCUGCUUCCAGGAAAAGCCUCUAAGCAUCAGGUAACAUCAAAUCGUACCCCAAACCGACACAGGUGGUCAGGUAGAGAAUACCAAGGCGCUUGAGAGAACUCGGGUGAAGGAACUAGGCAAAAUGGUGCCGUAACUUCGGGAGAAGGCACGCUGACACGUAGGUGAAGUGAUUUACUCAUGGAGCUGAAGUCAGUCGAAGAUACCAGCUGGCUGCAACUGUUUAUUAAAAACACAGCACUGUGCAAACACGAAAGUGGACGUAUACGGUGUGACGCCUGCCCGGUGCCGGAAGGUUAAUUGAUGGGGUCAGCGCAAGCGAAGCUCCUGAUCGAAGCCCCGGUAAACGGCGGCCGUAACUAUAACGGUCCUAAGGUAGCGAAAUUCCUUGUCGGGUAAGUUCCGACCUGCACGAAUGGCGUAAUGAUGGCCAGGCUGUCUCCACCCGAGACUCAGUGAAAUUGAACUCGCUGUGAAGAUGCAGUGUACCCGCGGCAAGACGGAAAGACCCCGUGAACCUUUACUAUAGCUUGACACUGAACAUUGAGCCUUGAUGUGUAGGAUAGGUGGGAGGCUUUGAAGUGUGGACGCCAGUCUGCAUGGAGCCGACCUUGAAAUACCACCCUUUAAUGUUUGAUGUUCUAACGUGGACCCGUUACCCGGGUUGCGGACAGUGUCUGGUGGGUAGUUUGACUGGGGCGGUCUCCUCCUAAAGAGUAACGGAGGAGCACGAAGGUUGGCUAAUCCUGGUCGGACAUCAGGAGGUUAGUGCAAUGGCAUAAGCCAGCUUGACUGCGAGCGUGACGGCGCGAGCAGGUGCGAAAGCAGGUCAUAGUGAUCCGGUGGUUCUGAAUGGAAGGGCCAUCGCUCAACGGAUAAAAGGUACUCCGGGGAUAACAGGCUGAUACCGCCCAAGAGUUCAUAUCGACGGCGGUGUUUGGCACCUCGAUGUCGGCUCAUCACAUCCUGGGGCUGAAGUAGGUCCCAAGGGUAUGGCUGUUCGCCAUUUAAAGUGGUACGCGAGCUGGGUUUAGAACGUCGUGAGACAGUUCGGUCCCUAUCUGCCGUGGGCGCUGGAGAACUGAGGGGGGCUGCUCCUAGUACGAGAGGACCGGAGUGGACGCAUCACUGGUGUUCGGGUUGUCAUGCCAAUGGCACUGCCCGGUAGCUAAAUGCGGAAGAGAUAAGUGCUGAAAGCAUCUAAGCACGAAACUUGCCCCGAGAUGAGUUCU